GAGUUCAGAGUCCAGUCUGAGAGGACAGAGAAGAAGAACGAGGACUGAAAGCUGAAUCAGGGUGAAGGUAGAAAGUGUGUGUGAGCUGAUGUGGAUUCAGCAGCAUGGAUCAGUGUGAGGACCGAGAGGAGGGAGUCCCUCCCUCUAAAACCACUCUGUGUGGGGAACAUGAGAGCCAGAGCCAAGAUCAGAGGAAGAAACAUGGACCAGAACCAGAACUGGAACCUGGAUCUGAACUUGGACCUGGACCCAGCUGUGUGUCCUUUAAGAGCAACAUGUCAAAGGAUCUUCCUUUUGAAUUCAAACAAAGUGUUUCAUCCAACAAACAGUACGUUUUUCUCAGUGUUCAGUUGAGGCUGGAUGAUGUUAAAGAUAACUGUUGAUUUUUAUUUCAUUAUGCUGAGAAACUAUUGUGGAAUAGGGAGAAUCAUUUUGAAAGGAUGUUGACUGUGUGGUGAACAGAGCAGCGAUGACAGAAUCCAGCAGGGAAACAGA